rnacentral:lncRNA from 1 species
AGAAGUGACGCUGUGCAUGGGGCCUGGCACCGGAUGGGGACUGGCCUGGUAUAAAUUUCUCUCACUCUCUGGUUGCAGGCCUCAGCAAAUCAAGGUGAAGGCACCCACUUCAUCCUCUGUUUCUUUACUCUGUUCCCAAGGGACUCUAAAGGCCCAGCUGCUGCUCCAGUCACACCAUAGGCAAGCAGGGUCUGAGGGAAGACCAUGGCAAAGGGAGCCACCAGCAAGAGCAACCAUUGCCUGAUUCUGAGCCUUUUCAUUCUGCUGAGCUAUCUGGGGACCAUACUGGCAGAUGGUGAGAGAAGAUGAGAUAAGAUUUACAACCAUCUGGAGAACACUAGAUGCUCUGUCAGUCAAGAGUCCUUGUCCCUUUAUCCUAGGGAGCUCUGAACACAUGAGGGACCUGUUGAUUUUCUGCAUCAGUGUCUCAAUUCUGGAUACCUUGUCUGACUGUGAUAUGUCCAUCUAAUACCCUAGUGGGAAAUAGCUCAUCUCAUGAUGCCUUCCUGAGGCCUGAUGGUACUUCCAAUAGCCCGCAAACCAAAUGCCACUCUGUCCCAGAGCCCAUUAUCACCUCAGGAUCCAGGCUGGCUUCUACCCAAGCAAGGUGAUGCUCCAAUUACAAACUGCUCUGGGCCAUUUCCUAGGCUUAACUCCUCUUGCUGAUAGAUUGUUCCAGGCUAUGGAACACUAGAAGGAAAUCCAGUCUUGCUCCUCAUGGGUGUAUUAUCUCAGAAUGCCUUCAACCUACAAGAAUAGAGAUGAACAGGUGUAACUGAGACUCUGUGACCUACAAAUACUUCAAUUUUGACAUCAUUGCUGUAUUAGUUAUUUUCUAUUGCUAUGAUAAAACACCAUAAAGAAGGAAGAUGUUGUGGGCAGAUAGCUUCAAAGGGACAAGAGUCCAUCACCAUCACAGCAGGGAGCACAGCAGCAGGCAGGCAUGAUGGCUGGGGCAGCGAGCUGAGAGCUCACAUCAUAAACCUCAAGCAAGAUGCAGAGAUGGAGAAAUGGGAAUUGCAUAGGUUUUUGGGUUUCAGAGCCACAUUCCCAAUGAUCCACUUCCUUAAGUAAGAUUACACCUCCUUAAUCUAUCUAAACAGCUGCUACCACGUGGGUAGUCAAAGACCAGAGCCUAUGCAGGAGAGUUUCCUUUAUUUUUAUUUAUCUUUUUAUGAAUUAUUUUAUUAAUUUACAUUUCAAAUGAUAUCCCCCUUCCUGGUUAUACCUCCACAAACCCCUCAUCCUACCCUCCCUCUCUUCUUUCCCCUUUGCCUCUAUGAGGGGUCUCCUCCACCCACUCAUCCACUCCUGCCUCACUGCUCUAGCAUCCCCCUAUGCUGGGGUAUCAAGCCUCCUCAGGAAAAGGGGCCUCCCUUCCCAUUGAUGAUAUAAGGCUAUUCUCUGCUCCAUAUGUAUCUGGAGCCAUGGUUCCCUCCAUGUAUACUCUUUGGUUGAUGGUUUAGGUCCUGGGAGCUCUGGGGGGUUCAGUUAGUUGAUAUUGUUCUUCCUAUGGGAUUGCAACCCCCUUCCUCUCCUUCAGUCCUUCCCCUAGAACUUCCAUUUGGGUCCCUGAGCUCAGUCUGAUGGAUGGCUGUGAGUAUCUGCAUCUGUAUUUUUCAAGUGCUGGUAGAAUCUCUCAGGGAAGAGCCAUACCAGGCUCCUGACAGCAAGUACUUCUAGGCAUCAGCAAUAGUGUAGGGGUUUGGUGUUUGCAGAUGAGAUGGAACCCUAGGCAAGACAAUUUCUGAUGGCCUUUCCUUCAGUCUCUGUUCCAUUUUUUGUCCCUGUCUUUCCAUUGUACAGGAACAUUUCUGGGUUAAAAAUUUUGUGAUGUGUGGGUGGCUCCAUCCCUCAACAGGGUCCAGUUUCAAUCUACUGGAGGUGGUCUGUACAGGUUGUAUCUCCUCGUUGUUGGGUAUUUUUGCUAAUGUCAUCCCCAUUGGGUCUUGGGAGUCUCUCACUUCCCUGGAGUCUAGGACCAGUUCCUCAUUACCCACUGCUACAUGCUUCUAUUCAAUUUAAUGAUCCUUUGAACUUCUCUCCUGUCCCUUCCAAAGACCGAUCUUGCUCCCUUUUUUCUCUCCCCCUCCUUUUUCUCCCAUGUCCCUUUCUCCCUCUAUCUCCUGUGAUUGUUUUGUUCCCUGUUCUAUGUAGGACUGAAGCAACUACAGUUUGGUCUUCCUUAUUCUUAAGCUCUGAGAGUCUUCUUUAAACUACCACUCUAAACAUUCACAGUAGCAUCGAGGGGUUGUUCCUGAGUGCCAGGAUAAUAAUGACGUGAGACAGAAAAAAAAUCACAGCAUUUACUGUGGAGAUGAGUGGUCUCUACUUGUUGGGGCCUGAUUGAUCCUCUUAGGAAGUCAAUCUGGGUCUUUGAGGUGGUUCACUUUUAAAUUGUUUGAGAUCUAUUUUUAUUUUAUGUGCAUAAUAUUUUAACUUCAUCAUGCACGUGUACCAUGUGUGUGAUUGGUGCCCUUGGAAACUACAACAGGGCAUAGGAGCCCCUAUAAAAUGGAGUUACAGGCAGUUGUGAACUACCAUGUGGUUGCUGGGAAUAAAUCUAGAUCUUCUGCAACAGCAACAAGUGCCCCUAAGCCCUGUGCCAUCUCUCUGGCCUCCGUUUUAUAGUUUUACACGGUUGACACAGCAGCUUUCAUGUGUAGUGGACUUUUUCAUCUGUAAUGGACUUUAUUCCUGGGGCUCCUUUUCUCCUCAAACUAUACCUUUUGUAUUUUUCCUUUCUCAGCUUGCUACUUUUCAUUAUAGAUCUGCAUAAGAGUGAUCACUAACACCCACAUGACAGUCAAUACCAAGAUGUCUUGAAAUAUCUUCUGUCAAAAUCAUUAAUCCUAAACUCUUCAAUUUAGUCUUAGACAGUUUUUUCCCCCCAGGGGAGGGGAGGGCAGAGCCCAAAAGUAAAGACAUUCUUCAAAAAAAAAAUCACAAAGACAUUUUCUAGGACACUUCUCUGAAACCAAUUAUACCAGGCUGUGCUAAUCUAUAUUUCUCUAGGCACCACUGACUUCCAUGGUCUUGCUCCUAUGACCCAUUUCGCUUUGCUAAAAAUGUUCAACUUCUUUGCUAAUUCAAAGUUCAAAAGUCCACAUUCUGCCCAUAAGCAGGUUGGUCAGGCUUGUCACAGCAAUACCCCACUUCCAGGUACCAAGUUUUACCUUGGUUAGUGUGGUGGUUUGAAUAUGCUUGGCCUAGGGAGUGGCUUGGCUAUUAGGAGGUUUGGCCUUGUUGGAGCAAGUAUGGCCUGGUUGGAGGAAGUGUAUCACUGUGGGCGUGGGAUUUGAGACCUUUCUCCUAGCUGCCUUAGGGACAGUCUCCUCUUGGCUUCCUUUAGAUGAAGAUAUAGAGCUCUCACCUCCUCCUGCACCAUGCCUGCCUGGAUGCUGCCAUAUUCCCACCUUGAUGAUAAUGGACUGAGCGUCUGAACCUGUAAACCAACCCCAAUUAAAUGUUGUACUUUAUGAGAGUUGCCUUGGUCAUGAUGUCUGUUCACAGCAGCAAAACGAUAACUAAGACACUCAGUGUCCUAACUAAAACACAGUGACCAUUUAUUGGGGCUUGCUUACCUUCUCAGAGGUUUGGUCUUUUUUUUUCCUCCUCAGGGUAGGGAGCAUAGAGCUAACAGUCAGAUAUGGUAGUUGAGAGUUCUACAUCCCUACCUAAAGGCCACAAGAGGACAGAGACUAUGGGCUGCAAACUGGUUUUUCAAACUUCAGGGUAGCUCCAGUGACCGGCUUCCUCUGAUUUGGGUACAAUUACUCCAACAAAGCCACAGUACGAAUUUCAUUACACAUCUCUUGACAUGGAUUUCUCUGAGUCUUUUUACACACCUUUUACUAUGAGUUUUAGAGGUUCUAGAUUCUGUAUUUCAUCGAGCAUGGACUAGUCUCUAACCAGAUUCCUAUAACACACGGGCAUUAGCUCCAGAGAAUUCUGGUGGUUCACUGAUGACUAAAAGUCUUGUGCCCAAAGCAUGAGGGGAAUGCUGAGUUUACACUGUCAGCUUCACAACCAUGAGAACCUGAGCUGCUCCUUGGGCCUCCUAUAAAAGUGAUGGGCAUGGUGCUGUGUGCUUUCAUUCUUAGUACUAGCAAGGCAGAGGCAACUAUGCAUAACUUCAUUGUCCCCUACAGACCUCCACAGGCCCUGCAUGCACAUGGUACACAGAUAGAAGCACUGGCAAAUACUGUGCAAAUACAAUAAAAAUAAAUAAUCUCUGAGUCACUGGCAAGCCUGUCGUGUCAUCUUGGCCAGUCGCAAGCAUCGUAGAGACCUUGUCUAAUCAGUAUUACUGUGGCAUUUGUGUAAGAUGUUGUAAAAAUGUUUUUCUUACCAAAAUAUGGAGAUCAGUGUGCAAUACUUCCUUUUAAGACAUUUGCCAUCAUCAUCAUCAUCAUUUUUUAUUAGUGCAAAUAUUUGAAGUCAGGAAUGCUUUCUUUAAGUCACCUUCAUUACUCACUGUUCCUCAUUUAGCAAAGCAGUUUCCUUUAAUUAAACUUCUAAGUGGGUUUUCUUAC